AGAGUUUGAUUCUGGCUCAGAAUGAAUGCUGGCGGCGCGCUUAACACAUGCAAGUCGAACGAGAAAACAGGUAACUGUGAGUAAUGUGGCGAACCGGUGAGUAACACGUGAGAAUCUACUUUUUAGUGGAGGAUACCUUGAGGAAACUUGAGUUAAUCCUGCAUAAGCUCGAAAGAGGAAAGGUGGCUUAAUUGCUAUCGCUAAGAAAUGAGCUUGCGUCCUAUUAGUUAGUUGGUGAGGUAAAGGCUUACCAAGACAAAGAUGGGUAUCCGGCCUGAGAGGGCUAUCGGACACACUGGGACUGAGAUACGGCCCAGACUCCUACGGGAGGCAGCAGUGGGGAAUCUUGCGCAAUGGGCGAAAGCCUGACGCAGCGACGCCGCGUGGAGGAUGAAGGUUUUAGGAUCGUAAACUUCUGUUAAAUGGGAAGAAAGAGCUGUGACGAAUAAUCAUAGAAGAUGACGGUACCAUUAGAGAAAGCCCCGGCUAACUUCGUGCCAGCAGCCGCGGUAAUACGAAGGGGGCGAGCAUUAUUCGGAAUUAUUGGGCGUAAAGUGCAUGUAGGUGGUUUGUUAAGUUGAUUGUUAAAUCCUAUAGCCUAACUAUGGGGCUGCGGUCAAAACUGAUAGACUAGAGGAUGAAAGAGAAGAGUGGAAUUCUCGGAGUAGCGGUUAGAUGCGUGGAUCUCGAGAGGAACAUCAUUGGCGAAGGCAGCUCUUUGGUUCAUUUCUGACACUAAAAUGCGAAGGCGUGGGGAGCAAACAGGAUUAGAUACCCUGGUAGUCCACGCAGUAAACGAUGAUCACUGGGUGUUGGGCUGUAGAGCUCAGUGCCGAAGCUAACGCGUUAAGUGAUCCGCCUGGGAAGUACGGUCGCAAGAUUAAAACUCAAAGAAAUUGACGGGGGCCCGCACAAGCGGUGGAACAUGUGGUUUAAUUCGACACUACGCGAGGAACCUUACCUGGGUUUGACAUGUUAGAGAUCGCCUUUAAAAGAGGUUUCCUGGAGUAAUCUAGGUUCUAGCACAGGUGCUGCAUGGCUGUCGUCAGCUCGUGUCGUGAGAUGUUGGGUUAAGUCCUUUAACGAGCGCAACCCCUGCUAUUAGUUGCUACUUCUUCGGAAAGCACUCUAGUAGGACUGCCUGGGAAACCAGGAGGAAGGUGGGGAUGACGUCAAGUCCGCAUGGCCCUUAUGUCCAGGGCUACACACGUGUUACAAUGGUUGGUACAAAAAGGAGCAAUGUCGCGAGGCGGAGCAAAUCUUGGAAAACCAAUCUAAGUUCGGAUUGAAGUCUGAAAUUCGGCUUCAUGAAGCUGAAAUCGCUAGUAAUCGUACAUCAGAACGGUACGGUGAAUACGUUCCCGGGCCUUGUACACACCGCCCGUCACAC
rnacentral:rRNA from 1 species